GGGCGGUUAGUUCAGAGGGAGAACGCCGUCUUGACAGGACGGAGGUCGCAGGUUCGAUUCCUGCACCGCCCACUA
rnacentral:tRNA from 1 species